UCAUUUCUAGGGGUACAUGCAGCAACAC
rnacentral:sRNA from 1 species